ACCUGAUGAAGAUCUUGAUAUACUGAUUAAGGCCCUUGCUCUAGGAGAACAGAAAACAAGUCUAUAUGCAGAAUAUAUAAUGAAGAUUUUAGGACUUGACACAUGUGCGGAUACACUGGUGGGAGAUGAAAUGCUCAAACGAAUUUCUGGAGGGCAAAAAAAGAGACUGACUACAGGUAGCACUACUUAAAAAGUUUUAUUAUCUUAUCAACCUGGGUAUGUGGCUUCAAGUAAUAAUAAUAUUGACGCUUAGUCGCUUAUGCUAAAUUUUCAGGAG